rnacentral:rRNA from 1 species
GACGAACGCUGGCGGCGUGCUUAACACAUGCAAGUCGAACGGAAAGGCCCUGCUUUUGUGGGGUGCUCGAGUGGCGAACGGGUGAGUAACACGUGAGUAACCUGCCCUUGACUUUGGGAUAACUUCAGGAAACUGGGGCUAAUACCGGAUAGGAGCUCCUGCUGCAUGGUGGGGGUUGGAAAGUUUCGGCGGUUGGGGAUGGACUCGCGGCUUAUCAGCUUGUUGGUGGGGUAGUGGCUUACCAAGGCUUUGACGGGUAGCCGGCCUGAGAGGGUGACCGGCCACAAUGGGACUGAGAUACGGACCAGACUCCUACGGGAGGCAGCAGUGGGGAAUAUUGCACAGUGGGCGGGAGCCUGAUGCAGCGACGCCGCGUGCGGGAUGACGGCCUUCGGGUUGUGAACCGCUUUCGCCUGUGACGAAGCGUGAGUGACGGUAAUGGGUAAAGAAGCACCGGCUAACUACGUG